rnacentral:tRNA from 1 species
GCGGACAUAGUCUAGUGGUAAAACCCCAGCUUCCCAAGCUGGAGAUGCGGGUUCGAUUCCCGUUGUCCGCUCCA